UUCUAUACUCACAUACUAGAUCACAUUUGGCCUUUGGCAAUUCAGUAAACAUUUUAGCAAUUUCUUCUUUCCUGCCUGCUGAAGACUGACUUCCUCCUGCUGCCAAAGUUCUAGAGUCUGGACGUCUGAGAUCAGGGUGCCAGCACUGUCGAGGUCACAGACUGCAGACCUCCUUGUAUCUUCAAAUGGAGGAAAGAGGACAAGAGAGCUCCUGUGGUCCCUUUUAUCAAGAUGAAUGCACAAGGAAAAUGUUGUACAUUUGCACAUUGGAGUACACUUCAGCCAUAAAAAGAAUGAGAUGCUGUCAUUUGCAACAACAGAGUUGUGCAGUCAUCAGUUAUCUUCAUGGGACGAGUAUGUCCGGAGGGGAGGAAAAUCUGAUAAAAAAUAUUGAAAUUCAAUGAAGGCUUCCACUGCUUAACAAAUGUUACAUAGAAUUCUUCACCGAUGUGAGGAACAUCAGUUUGCAAAAGAAACUCUGCACUUUCAGGGAUAAAAAGACUGAGACUCCAAAUGGUGCUCCUAGUAUUGGUGAAGCUUAGGGAGAGAGCCCAUUGUGUUUCUAUCUAACUGCUCUCAGGAAAAGGUAGAAAAUGUCUCAGAUUCCACAAGAAAGAUAGAAUGUGUGAUAAGAUGACAAUCAGGCCACAACAGAAUAUCCUAGUAGGGUACAUAAAUUAGCAUCAACAUGGACCAAUUAGCAAGGAAGUGUCUUCAUAAUAUUCCCGUAAUUAGACUCUCAUUAGCUUGAUAUUUGAUGCUGGACUAACCCUAUUUGAAUGAUAUAAGCACUGGUACUUAGAAUUUUCAGAGACUGGUGCCCCUAAUGGAAAAAUGCAGGAUGAAAUGCUAGUGAAGAUUAACUGGGAGAAAAAUAGGUAAAUGUGAAAAAGAAAACGUGUGUCUGACUGUAUACAGAGUUCUAAUUGUAAAAAAUUAAUCGAAUGUAUAAAAUAUCGACAG
rnacentral:lncRNA from 1 species